AAGACGGUGAUGCCGCAGUUGCUUUUGUCCAAUACGUCGAUGAUGGCGAUUGUUACGGCUUUUAGCCACGACGAACGUGAAGACGCCAAAAUCCACAAAGAGUCUAUCGAUAAAUGCACUAUUCUAGGCAAAAUGAAAAGCGGACGAUUAGCACGAAAAGACAGAAGGAGUGAAGUUUUGCAAAAAUUGUGAAAGAAUUCAUUGAAAACCUUUUUUCGACAGGAACAGCUCAUCUUGAAGACAGUCGAGGGACGAAAAAAAUUUGGCGUCUAUAUAGAGACGUUCAUCAACGAACUAAAAGACGUUUAUGAACUAAGCACCGUUCAUGAGAAAGCGAAGACCAAAGUUUUGUUCCGCGCCGAUAAUUUUGAUGAUUAGAAAAGCUCUAUUGAUUUCACUAGCUUUUUUUCCUAAUUCAUUAACGUUUACAAACGAGGGGCGCACAUGAAUUUUGGCAGUGUGGAAGUGUGACAGAAAUAAAAUUGUCUAAGAAAAGAUUCCUGAUGGAAAAACUCGAAUCAAAAAUGAACAACGUAAACGCAGAUCAUAUAAAACACCU